rnacentral:rRNA from 1 species
GUCGUGAGAUGUUGGGUUAAGUCCCGUAACGAGCGCAACCCCUAUCCUUAGUUGCCAGCGAGUCAAGUCGGGAACUCUAGGGAGACUGCCGGUGACAAACCGGAGGAAGGUGGGGACGACGUCAAGUCAUCAUGGCCCUUAUGGGCAGGGCUACACACGUGCUACAAUGGCCGGUACAAAGGGCAGCGAAGCCGCAAGGUGAAGCGAAUCUCACAAAACCGGUCGUAGUCCGGAUUGCAGUCUGCAACUCGACUGCAUGAAGCUGGAAUCGCUAGUAAUCGUGGAUCAGAAUGCCGCGGUGAAUACGUUCCCGGGCCUUGUACACACCGCCCGUCACACCAUGGGAGUGGGCUGUACCAGUAAGUAGGUAGUCUAACCUU